rnacentral:rRNA from 1 species
AGAGUUUGAUCCUGGCUCAGGAUGAACGCUAGCGGCAGGCCUAAUACAUGCAAGUCGAGGGGCAGCGCGGUAGCAAUACUGGCGGCGACCGGCGCACGGGUGCGUAACACGUAUGCAACCUACCUUCAACAGGAGGAUAGCCCGGGGAAACUCGGAUUAAUACUCCAUAAUACAGGGAUCCCGCAUGGGAAUAUUGUUAAAGCUACGGCGGUUGAAGAUGGGCAUGCGUUCGAUUAGCUAGUUGGUGUAGUAACGGCUCACCAAGGCAACGAUCGAUAGGGGGUCUGAGAGGAUGAUCCCCCACACUGGUACUGAGAUACGGACCAGACUCCUACGGGAGGCAGCAGUAGGGAAUAUUGGUCAAUGGGCGGAAGCCUGAACCAGCCAUGCCGCGUGCAGGAAGAAGGCCCUCUGGGUUGUAAACUGCUUUUGAUAGGGAACAAAUGCCACUUGCGAGUGGAGCUGAGUGUACCUAUAGAAUGAGCACCGGCUAACUCCGUGCCAGCAGCCGCGGUAAUACGGAGGGUGCAAGCGUUGUCCGGAUUUAUUGGGUUUAAAGGGUGCGUAGCGGCUCUUUAAGUCAGUGGUGAAAUCCUU